rnacentral:rRNA from 2 species
AACCAACAGGUAUUCCCCUAGUAACGGCGAGUGAAGCGGGAACAGCUCAAAUUUGAAAUCUGGCCCUUGGGUCCGAGUUGUAAUUUGCAGAGGAUGCUUUUGGUGCGGUGCCUUCCGAGUUCCCUGGAACGGGACGCCUUAGAGGGUGAGAGCCCCGUACGGUUGGCCACCAAGCCUGUGUAAAGCUCCUUCGACGAGUCGAGUAGUUUGGGAAUGCUGCUCAAAAUGGGAGGUAUAUUUCUUCUAAAGCUAAAUACUGGCCAGAGACCGAUAGCGCACAAGUAGAGUGAUCGAAAGAUGAAAAGCACUUUGAAAAGAGGGUUAAAUAGCACGUGAAAUUGUUGAAAGGGAAGGAUUUAUGACCAGACUUUUUCUGGGGGGAUCAUCCGGUGUUCUCACCGGUGCACUUCCCCCAGUUGAGGCCAGCAUCGGUUUCUGCCGGGGGAUAAAAGCUUUGGGAAUGUGGCUCCUUCGGGAGUGUUAUAGCCCGUUGCAUAAUACCCUGGCGGGGACCGAGGUUCGCGCAUUGCAAGGAUGCUGGCGUAAUGGUUAUUAAUCACCCGUCUUGAAACACGGACCAAGGAGUCGAACAUUUGUGCGAGUGUUUGGGUGUUAAACCCUCACGCGUAAUGAAAGUGAACGGAGGUGAGAGCCUUUAGGGGUGCAUCAUCGACCGAUCCUGAUGUCUUCGGAUGGAUUUGAGUAAGAGCAUAACUGUUCGGACCCGAAAGAUGGUGAACUAUGCGUGGAUAGGGUGAAGCCAGAGGAAACUCUGGUGGAGGCUCGCAGCGGUUCUGACGUGCAAAUCGAUCGUCAAAUCUGCGCAUGGGGGCGAAAGACUAAUCGAACC